GAACGGGUGAGUAACACGUGGGUGAUCUGCCCUGCACUUUGGGAUAAGCCUGGGAAACUGGGUCUAAUACCGAAUAGGACCACGCGCUUCAUGGUGUGUGGUGGAAAGCUUUUGCGGUGUGGGAUGGGCCCGCGGCCUAUCAGCUUGUUGGUGGGGUAAUGGCCUACCAAGGCGACGACGGGUAGCCGGCCUGAGAGGGUGACCGGCCACACUGGGACUGAGAUACGGCCCAGACUCCUACGGGAGGCAGCAGUGGGGAAUAUUGCACAAUGGGCGCAAGCCUGAUGCAGCGACGCCGCGUGAGGGAUGACGGCCUUCGGGUUGUAAACCUCUUUCAAUAGGGACGAAGCGCAAGUGACGGUACCUAUAGAAGAAGCACCGGCCAACUACGUGCCAGCAGCCGCGGUAAUACGUAGGGUGCGAGCGUUGUCCGGAAUUACUGGGCGUAAAGAGCUCGUAGGUGGUUUGUCGCGUUGUUCGUGAAAACUCACAGCUUAACUGUGGGCGUGCGGGCGAUACGGGCAGACUAGAGUACUGCAGGGGAGACUGGAAUUCCUGGUGUAGCGGUGGAAUGCGCAGAUAUCAGGAGGAACACCGGUGGCGAAGGCGGGUCUCUGGGCAGUAACUGACGCUGAGGAGCGAAAGCGUGGGGAGCGAACAGGAUUAGAUACCCUGGUAGUCCACGCCGUAAACGGUGGGUACUAGGUGUGGGUUCCUUCCUUGGGAUCCGUGCCGUAGCUAACGCAUUAAGUACCCCGCCUGGGGAGUACGGCCGCAAGGCUAAAACUCAAAGGAAUUGACGGGGGCCCGCACAAGCGGC
rnacentral:rRNA from 1 species